rnacentral:sRNA from 1 species
UUCAGAAUGUUCGCAUUCUGCUGCAGUACAGUUAGAUUUUCCCUUAGCUUCAUAGUUACAUUUAAUAGUUCAAUUUUUCAGCGCACCAAACAUUUAAUUAAACUUAUACAAGGGACACAUCAUGUCUAACAAAACUACUGGCACAGUAAAAUGGUUUAACGAAGAGAAAGGCUUCGGUUUCAUCACUCAAGAAAACGGCGGUGCUGACGUAUUCGUACACUUCCGCGCUAUCACUGGCGAAGGCUUCAAAACUCUAGCUGAAGGCCAAAAGGUUGCUUUCGAAGUUGAGCAAGGCCAAAAAGGUCCUCAAGCUGCUAACGUUGAAGUACUAUAAUUUUAGAUUGACUCAAGCGUCAAUUUUCUAAGAUUUCAAAAACCAGCCCAAGUGGCUGGUUUUUUUA